CUCUCUCUCUCUCUCUCUCUCGAUAUAACAAUAGAUGCAAAUAACUAUAAUGUACAUCAAUGAACUGUUUAACAGGCCUAAAGUUUCAAUUAAUCAGUGAUUAGUUAAAGAAGUAGAUUUCUUCAACUACAAAAUACUCUAAAUCUUUUUGUAUUUUUAUUUGAGAAUUUCUUCAUUACCUUUUUCUUUAAAAAUAUUCAUCUCGACAAUCCCAUUUUUUCUGACUUUAUACCUUAAUGUUGGAUAUUGAACAG
rnacentral:misc_RNA from 1 species